UACGGAGGGGGCUAGCGUUGUUCGGAAUGACUGGGCGUAAAGCGCGCGCAGGCGGUCCUUUAAGUCGGGGGUGAAAGCCCAGAGCUCAACUCUGGAACUGCCUUCGAAACUAGAGGACUUGGGUACGGGAGAGGUGAGUGGAAUUCCGAGUGUAGAGGUGAAAUUCGUAGAUAUUCGGAAGAACACCAGUGGCGAAGGCGGCUCACUGGACCGUAACUGACGCUGAGACACGAAAGCGUGGGUAGCAAACAGG
rnacentral:rRNA from 1 species